rnacentral:sRNA from 1 species
AAGUGGUCGUGGGUAUAAGUAUUCCCUUAUGGGCUUUCGCUAUCGUCUUUAUGCUGGUGAACGUUUACAAAUGGUACACUCUCACCUGGCUAUCGUUAGCGCCGCUGGUGAUACUUCUAUUAGUGGGCACCAAGCUUGAACUUAUAAUCAUGGAAAUGGCCCAAGAAAUUCAAGAUCGAACCACAAUUGUCAGAGGAGUCCCUAUUGUAGAGCCUAACAACAAGUAUUUUUGGUUUAAUCGGCCCCAGUGGAUUACCUUCUUAAUCCACUUUACCUUAUUCGAGAAUGCAUUCCAAAUAGCCUUUUUCUUGUGGUCGUGGUAUGAAUUCAAGAUCACGUCUUGCUUCCAUGAAAACUUGCCGCUGAUACUGACAAGGGUUUUCCUUGGAAUAGUCUUGCAAGUCGUGUGUAGUUACAUUACAUUUCCUCUCUACUCCCUAGUAACACAGAUGGGAUCUCACAUGAAAAAAGCAAUUUUUGAAGAGCAAACUGCAAAGGCACUAAAGAAAUGGCAGAGGGUUGCAAAAGACAAGAGAAA